rnacentral:snRNA from 1 species
CAGCUUUCUUGCAAAAAUCU